rnacentral:rRNA from 1 species
UACGUAGGGGGCAAGCGUUGUCCGGAAUCAUUGGGCGUAAAGCGCGCGUAGGUGGCUUUGUAAGUCCGUUGUGAAAGUCAAAGGCUCAACCUUUGAAUGCCGAUGGAUACUGCGGAGCUAGAGUACGGAAGAGGAGAGUGGAAUUCCUGGUGUAGCGGUGAAAUGCGCAGAUAUCAGGAAGAACACCCGUGGCUAAGGCGGCUCUCUAGUACGGUACUGACGCUGAGACGCGAAAGCGUGGGGAGCAAACAGGG